CCUACGGGUGGCUGCAGUGAGGAAUAUUGGUCAAUGAGCGAGAGCUUGAACCAGCCACGUCGCGUGCAGGAAGAAUGUCUUAUGGAUUGUAAACUGCUUUUUCGGUAGAGUAACGUGCGUCACGUGUGGCGUAUUGCAAGUAUACCGAGAAUAAGGAUCGGCUAACUCCGUGCCAGCAGCCGCGGUAAUACGGAGGAUCCGAGCGUUAUCCGGAUUUAUUGGGUUUAAAGGGUACGUAGGCGGGAUGAUAAGUCAGCGGUGAAAUUUUGCAGCUUAACUGUAAGCUUGCCGUUGAAACUAUUAUUCUUGAGUGUAGAUAAGGUAGGCGGAAUGUGUUGUGUAGCGGUGAAAUGCUUAGAUAUAACACAGAACACCAAUUGCGAAGGCAGCUUACCGGGUUACCACUGACGCUGAGGUACGACAGCGUGGGGAUCAAACAGGAUUAGAUACCCGAGUAGUC
rnacentral:rRNA from 1 species